CAGCCUGACCGGCUGCAGCUGAAGGGAGAAGCUGAUUGCCUGUGAUGCUGAUCAACCCCACACCUUCCUGGGUGAGGACUGGACAUUGUGAACAACACUGUCCUUGGUCAGAAAGGAACGAGGGACUUGACAACAGACCUGGAGAGUGGGAAACUGACGGGAUAUGUGGGAUCGGACAAUGAUGGGGAAAUCGUACUUCUUCCUGUCACUUCUCCAAGCUGCAGUAUCAACGGAGUGGACAAUCAACGUUCAAUUAAAUGUGACAGCACAGAGGGGUCUGUGUGCCCGGAUUCCGUGCAACUACAGUUACCCGUCACGUCUGAACAAAAUACCACCCGUUGGAAUCUGGAUUAACGAUGAGAACUGGAACGAUCAGUCUAUCGC